rnacentral:lncRNA from 1 species
GUUGUCAUGUUUCUGUCUUGUUGAUGUAUGUCGUAUGCUGAUGUAUUAUUGUUAUUUGUGUCGUCAUGUUUUUGUCUUGUUUGAUGUUUGUCGUAUGCUGAAUUAUAUGUUUGUUAUUUGUGUCGUCAUGUUUUUCUGUCUUGUUGAUGUAUGUCGUAUGCUGAUGUAUUUUUGUUAUUUGUGUCGUCAUGUUUCUGUCUUGUUGAUGUAUGUCGUAUGCUGAUGUAUUUUUGUUAUUU